CUCCAGCAUUUGCGUACUGCGCUUUCUGUAGGUUCCUUAUUCUGUAAUCAGAAUUCUAACAAUCUCCUCAACAGCAUACAGACACAAAAUCCACAGACCCAGAUAAAACAGCCUCCCAUCUGGUUGUAUGAUUGUCAGACGUGCAUUCUUUUAUAUUAACUGGUUCUCAGCAUUUUAGGAUAGAUGACUACCCAACACUGAACUGUCUCAAGUUUCCAGACUGAGACAGCUUUGUAGAAAUAAGAGAAAAAAUUCAUUACAAUUGGCCUAGCAUGGAAUUUAUUUUUAAAAGGUUUGGUAGAAUAUACUUGUAGGCUUCAAAACUAGGACACCAUCAUCUGAACACUCCUUCAUCUACACGAUAUUCUCCAGAAAUACCAAACUUUUAGUCCUGCUAGUUACAGCUAAUCAGUCAUAUUAGCUAAUCAAAGUAGCUGAUCAGUCACUUGAAGUCUGUUCUGAGCUCUACAGUGUUGGUCAGCUACUGACUUGUGGAAGUCAGACUCUGUCUACAACCUCGGAAUGGUUAUAAAGCAGGUAUGUUUAUUCGGCGCUGCACACACACGCCGGCCGCAAGGGGGAUAGCUCCACCUAACUUGCACACCAACGGUUGCUGCCAGUGUGCUUCUGUUAGUGGGACAAAUCCAUCCUCAUUUCAUUUCCCCCAUAAGUCUCUUGCAUAGUCAUCAGGUCUCCGAAGAAUCAGUCAGAGCUCACUCUAACAUCCCUGGUGGAAGGAGAACGCUGUCUUACCUGACAGGACUACUGUGCAUGGCUGUCCUGUGUCUCCAUUGAUCAGACUCACAGGAAAGUAAACCAAAUGAGGAUGAAAGAGCUUUACCUCUGGACGCAUCAUAGUAUGUAUUGAAAUGGGACCUGUAAGAACAAAGUGCAUUCUCAACAGAUGAAAAAACGCUCACUCUAAAUCUUGCUGGCUUUCCAUCACAUCAGAUUGACCGAGACACCCUGAUUCCUUGUCUUUAUUUGUUUUCUGCAGAAUUCUCCUAUCUCUUUUUGUUCAAGUUCAACUGGUAAAAAGCUUUUCACUGGUUAGUACACUUAGCUGGUAUACAUUUUUGUUUCUUAAGAUAACUGUUUUCAUAAUUUUCAAUAGAACGUUGCCAUCAUCUAUUUUGUAAGGUCUAGA